rnacentral:rRNA from 1 species
AUGGCCGGCCGCGGCGGGGCGUUCGCGCUCGUUGCGCUGUGCGUGCUCGAGCUCGCGCUGCUACAUGGCGCCGGCGCCGCCGCUGGGGAGCGGCUCGUGCCGGCCAUGUUCGUGUUCGGAGACUCGACGGUGGACGUCGGCAACAACAACCAGCUGCCUGGUUGCAAGCCCGAAUGCAGGGCCGACUACCCGCAGUACGGCGUCGACCACCCCUCCCAUGCGCCCACCGGCCGCUUCAGCAAUGGAUACAACCUCGCAGACCAGAUAGCUAAAUUACUUGGAUUCAACGAGAGCCCACCCGCUUUCCUAUCCUUCCCGGCCGGGGGCAUCAUUCCACGUAUGAAAGACGGCAUCAACUUUGCAUCGGGAGGGUCAGGGCUGCAGAACCAAACGGGCGAUCAUUGCGGGGGAGUCUACAGCAUGGCCGACCAACUGGAGGAGUUCAAGUUGGUCGUCAUGAUGCUGGGGAACGGCUCGUACGACCUCAUCUCGAGAUCGCUCUUCUUCAUCAGCGUCGGCAGCAACGACCUCUUCGAGUACGCCGACGCCAAGAACCCGCCUCCUAACCGCGACGACGCCGCCUUCCUGAAAUGCCUCGACGACUCUUACAGGACCUACCUACAGGAGCUGUAUGCGCUCGGGGCGAGGAAGUUCAGCAUCGUCAGCCCGUCGCUGGUGGGGUGCUGCCCGUCGCAGAGGGCGGCCGCGCUGCAACAUGACAAUGACUUGGACGAGCUCCACUGCUUCCGCCCGGCGAACAACCUCUCCAAGCGACUCUACACUUUGCUAGCCUCGACGCUCCAGGACCUCGGCGGCGAUCUGGACGGCAUGCACUACUCCCUCUGCGACUCGGCAGGGAUGGCCGAGGGGGUCUUCACGCCCGGCGGCGCCAAAGGCAUGUCAGCAACACCAUUUCGCCAUGCGGUAACGUGUCGGGACAUUUAUUUUAGGCCGUUCGGGCUGGGCCUGUGCAACACCACCGCCACGCUGUGCCCCAACCGCACCGACUUCGUGUUCUGGGACAGCUUCCACCCGACGGAGUAUGCGUCGGGUUUGGCCGCGUCCGCGCUCUUCGCCGACUCCGGCAAUUUCGUCCGCCCGAUCAACGUGGGGCAGCUGGCGGCGCUGUAG